GGCGAGCGUUGUCCGGAUUUACUGGGCGUAAAGGAUGCGUAGGCGGAUAUUUAAGUGGGAUGUGAAAUCCCCGAGCUUAACUCGGGGGCUGCAUUCCAAACUGGAUAUCUAGAGUGUCGGAGGGGAAAGUGGAAUUCCUAGUGUAGCGGUGAAAUGCGUAGAGAUUAGGAAGAACACCAGUGGCGAAGGCGACUUUCUGGACGAUAACUGACGCUGAGGCAUGAAAGCGUGGGGAGCAAACAGGAUUAGAUACCCUGGUAGUCCACGCCGUA
rnacentral:rRNA from 1 species